UGGACAGCGGCGUAAGGGAGAGUAACGCGUGGUUACGUGCUCUCGGGACCGGGAUAGUGUUGGGAAACUGGCAGUAAUACCGGAUAACAUCUUUGGAUCAAAUGGUGUGAUUCCGCCCGAGGAUCGGACCGCGUACUAUCAGCUUGUUGGCGGGGUAACGGCCCACCAAGGCUUCGAUGGUUACCGGGUGUGAGAGCAUGGCCCGGCUCACUGGGACUGAGACACUGCCCAGACAUCUACGGAUGGCUGCAGUCGAGAAUCUUCGGCAAUGGACGAAAGUCUGACCGAGCGACGCCGCGUGCGGGAUGAAGGCCCUCGGGUUGUAAACCGCUGUCAGUUGGGAGGAAAUUCAUGGGGGUUAUCCCCCAUGAUUGACCGAGCUUCAGAGGAAGGACGGGCUAAGUUCGUGCCAGCAGCCGCGGUAACACGAACCGUCCUAACGUUAUUCGGUAUCACUGGGCUUAAAGCGUGCGUAGGCGGCUUGGAAGGUGAGAUGUGAAAUCCCACGGCUCAACCGUGGAAUUGCGUUUCAAACCCCCAAGCUCGAGGAAGAUAGGGGUGAUGGGAACUUAUGGUGGAGCGGUGAAAUGCGUUGAUAUCAUAGGGAACACCGGUGGCGAAAGCGCAUCACUGGAUCUUUUCUGACGCUGAGGCACGAAAGCUAGGGUAGCGAACGGGAUUAGAUACCCCGGUAGUCCUAGCCGUAAACGAUGAGCACUGGGGUUGAGGGAACUAUCACAUUCUCUCGGCCGUAGCGAAAGCGUUAAGUGCUCCGCCUGGGGGAGUAUGGUCGCAAGGCUGAGACUCAAAGGAAUUGACGGGGGCUCACACAAGCGGUGGAAGGAUGUGGCUUAAUUCGAGGCUACGCGAAGAACCUUAUCCUAGAUUUGACAUGCUUGAGAGUCUCUAUGAAAGUAGAGAGUGCCCUUCGGGGAGCUCUUGCACAGGUGCUGCAUGGCUGUCGUCAGCUCGUGUCGUGAGAUG
rnacentral:rRNA from 1 species